ACUGUCCAGGUCUGACAUCUGACAUUCGCCACACUGUCCAGUUCUGACAUUCGCCACACUGUCCAGUUCUGACAUUCGCCACACUGUCCAGUUCUGACAUUCGCCACACUGUCUAGUUCUGACAUUCGCCACACUGUCCAGUUCUGACAAUCGCCACACUGUCCAGUUCUGACAUUCGCCACACUGUCCAGUUCUGACAUUCGCCACACUGUUCAGUUCUGACAUUCACCACACUGUCCAGUUCUGACAUUCGCCACACUUUCCAGGUCUGACAUUCACCACACUGUCCAGGUGUGACAUUCACCACACUGUCCAGGUCUGACAUCUGACAUUCGCCACACUGUCCAGGUCUGACAUUCGCCACACUGUCCAGUUCUGACAUUCGCCAUACUGUCCAGGUCUGACAUUCAUCACACUGUCCAGGUCUGACAUUCACCACACUGUCCAGGUCUGACAUUCACCACACUGUCUAGGUCUGACAUUCUAUAGCUCUGUAUGAAGUUUAAAACAAACAGACGUGACAAUAUACUUUUAAACAUGAAUACAUGAUCACACGUUGUUUGUUUCUUUGUAGUUUGGCAACGGUAUCUCUUUAAUAAGCUCUGUUUUGUGAGCGUGUGUAUUCUUCCAUCGGGAUCAUGUUUGACCUGUAUUUUGUAUUUCCUGUGUCGGAGAUUUGUUUGAAAUGGGAUCUAUUGUAAAGCAAUUAUUAUCUCGCGUUGACCAGACAUAAAUGGCGAUAAUGAUCAGCAAACAGUAAAACUUAGACGGUUCAAUGUGACUAUUGGACCAUACUAUUUACAUGGUUUUAUUUACAUUCCAUCAAACACAACUAACAGUAUUUGCAUUCUAUCAAACAGAACUAAUAUUGUUCAAAUUGGGGGUAGAAACAAUUAUUUCAAUUGAUGUAUAUAUAGUUAUAUACACUGAAAUAUCUUAAAGCUGCACUCUAACAGAUUGAACGUUUUGACAACUUAUUUAUUUUUUUGUCUUGGAACGAGACAAUUUAAGCGAAAAUGCAUGGAAACCAGUCAUACAAGUCUGCUGAUUUUUUUUUAUUUAAGUUAAAAAAAAAUAUGUUUUAUGCAUUUUUCUUGAACCGUUAGGAACGCUUUUACCCAUAAAACAUUAAUUUUCGAACGGAAAUAUUCAUAUCUGCGAUCUGAUAUUUUGUCAGUAGUGUUCUAUCACUGGUUUGCAGAUAUUAAAGCAAAUAUGUGCUCAUUCCUAGACAAAAUAUAAAAAAGUUUUAAAAACGGCGAAUCUGUGAGAUUGCAGCUUUAAAUAUCACACUACGCUUGGUUUGUUAUACUAACAUAAGGUAUGCAUGGAUAAAGAAGAUAUUAUUUCAAUGAUACUUUAUUUUCUAUUCAAAUAUGGUAUGUACAAUGAAAAGAUCCUUAGCAAACAACGAAGCUAGUAAAUUAUUUUUUCAAACAUGUACUCGUAAUCGUUGAGUUCUGGUACAGAUACAUGUCGAUGCCGGUGGUCAGGGAUUCGCAGGGACUCGCAGUGACUCGCCGUGACUCGCUCUACUUUACCACAUGCCCUGCUUCCCUGGAAAACACAAAUUUCACCGUCUAAUUUCUGUAUUAAUAAACGGACGAUUUAGAAAAUUUCUUCAAUAAAAAAUACACCAAUAAAUUAUGAUCUUCAA